rnacentral:misc_RNA from 1 species
GAAUUGCGAUAAGUAAUGUGAAUUGCAGAUACGUGAAUCAUCGAAUUUUUGAACGCAUAUUGCACUCUCUGGUAAUCCGGGGAGUAUGCCUGUUUGAGGGUCGGUAAAAAAUAAAACAUUAUCAUGUGGAUCCCUUAUGGGAUUUUCAUGGAAUUGGAUUUUUCAAAGGUUCCCUUUGAUGGUCUCAAAUUUAUGUUAUGGCUAAUUUAUAUAGAUUGAACUAAAAAGAGCAAUUAUUUAUAAUAUCUCGAAUUUUAGUGACGUUUAUAGGCCAAAUAUGAUUUUUUGGUGUUAAAUAAAAUACCAAAAGUUAUAAAUAAUUUUUAAUUAAGACCUCAAAUCAGGUAAGAGUACCCGCUGAACUUAA